AUUGAACGCUGGCGGCAUGCUUUACACAUGCAAGUCGAGCGGCAGCACGGGGGCAACCCUGGUGGCGAGCGGCGAACGGGUGAGUAAUACAUCCGAACAUGCCCAGUCUUUGGGGCUAACACUUCGAAAGAAGUGCUAAUACCGCAUACGUCCUGAGGUUGAAAGCGGUGGAUCGCAAGACCUCGCGCGAUUUGCUUUGCCGGUGUCAGAUUAGCUAGUUGGUUGGGUAAAGGCCUACCAAGGCAACGAUCUGUAGCUGGUCUGAGAGGAUGAUCAGCCACACUGGAACUGAGACACGGUCCAGACUCCUACGGGAGGCAGCAGUAGGGAAUCUUGGACAAAGGGGGAAACCCUGAUCCAGCAACGCCGCGUGAGUGAAGAAGGCCUUCGGGUUGUAAAGCUCUGUCGGCAGGAAAGAAAAGGUGAGCUAUAAAAUAGGUUGCUAAUGACGGUACCUGAAGAAGAAGCACCGGCUAACUACGUG
rnacentral:rRNA from 1 species